rnacentral:rRNA from 1 species
CAANUUUCAGCAACGGAUCUCUUGGCUCUCGCAUCGAUGCGCAGCNAAAUGCGAUAAGUAAUGUGAAUUGCAGAAUUCAGUGAAUCAUCGAAUCUUUGAACGCACCUUGCGCCCUCUGGUAUUCCGGAGGGCAUGCCUGUUUGAGUGUCAUUA